AGAUUCUUCAAGAUAAUCAUUGGUUCUCAAACAUAAACAUUUCAUGCAUUUCAUUCAGUCCAGGCCAAGACAGUCUGUCCCUUUCCCAAAGAUGGCGUUGGAGGUCAGGGUCUUCCACUCAUGAAAACAGUUGGUUGUUCUUCACCAAGAACAACCAUCAACCAAAGCCUCAGGCAGCCUCCGCAGAAGUCUAUCAGAGCUGAAAUGGAUCUCUCAAAUGCAGCCAAGGCUAUGUCGACAUAUACACAGAAAUUGAGGAAGGAUGCCUUUCCAAUGUCUGAAAAAAGUAAUGUUAUUCUCUUAGUUUUGCUCACAAGUAAUCAGAAUCAGA